rnacentral:rRNA from 1 species
UACGAAGGGGGCUAGCGUUGUUCGGAAUUACUGGGCGUAAAGGGCGCGUAGGCGGUGUGUCAAGUCAGGCGUGAAAGCCCCGGGCUCAACCUGGGAACCGCGCUUGAGACUGGCGGACUCGAGUUCGGGAGAGGAUGGUGGAAUUCCCAGUGUAGAGGUGAAAUUCGUAGAUAUUGGGAAGAACACCGAUGGCGAAGGCAGCCAUCUGGACCGACACUGACGCUGAGGCGCGAAAGCGUGGGGAGCAAACAGG